rnacentral:rRNA from 1 species
GACGAACGCUGGCGGCGUGCUUAACACAUGCAAGUCGAACGAAGAGCGAUGGAAGCUUGCUUCUAUCAAUCUUAGUGGCGAACGGGUGAGUAACGCGUAAUCAACCUGCCCUUCAGAGGGGGACAACAGUUGGAAACGACUGCUAAUACCGCAUACGAUCUAAUCUCGGCAUCGAGGAUAGAUGAAAGGUGGCCUCUACAUGUAAGCUAUCACUGAAGGAGGGGAUUGCGUCUGAUUAGCUAGUUGGAGGGGUAACGGCCCACCAAGGCGAUGAUCAGUAGCCGGUCUGAGAGGAUGAACGGCCACAUUGGGACUGAGACACGGCCCAGACUCCUACGGGAGGCAGCAGCGGGGAAUCUUCCGCAAUGGACGAAAGUCUGACGGAGCAACGCCGCGUGAGUGAUGACGGCCUUCGGGUUGUAAAGCUCUGUUAAUCGGGACGAAAGGCCUUCUUGCGAAUAGUGAGAAGGAUUGACGGUACCGGAAGAGAAAGCCACGGCUAACUACGUG